rnacentral:rRNA from 1 species
CAGUCGCCGCGGUAAUACAGAGGGUGCGAGCGUUAAUCGGAUUUACUGGGCGUAAAGCGUGCGUAGGCGGCUUCUUAAGUCGGAUGUGAAAUCCCUGAGCUUAACUUAGGAAUUGCAUUCGAUACUGGGAAGCUAGAGUAUGGGAGAGGAUGGUAGAAUUCCAGGUGUAGCGGUGAAAUGCGUAGAGAUCUGGAGGAAUACCGAUGGCGAAGGCAGCCAUCUGGCCUAAUACUGAUGCUGAGGUACGAAAGCAUGGGGAGCAAACAGGAUUAGAUACCCCAGUAGUCCCUGUCUCUUAUAC